rfam:Glossina fuscipes fuscipes unplaced genomic scaffold Scaffold913, whole genome shotgun sequence.
AUAAAGGCUUUUCUCAAAGCCAUAUCUUAUUCAGUUGUAACCGAAC